rnacentral:lncRNA from 1 species
AAUUGGUGCCUAGGUUAAGAGAAGCUAAAGCUUUGUGGCUUUGAUUCAGUCUCUGGUUUUCCAGUUCUGUAGAAUUUUGGUUUAGAAGGAUCCUGAAAUUAAUAUUAAUUAAUUAAUUUUUUUUUCUGUUGUUUAGAAUUUUCUUUUACUGUUUUGUAUUUUCUAGAAAUUGAAAAAUGUUUUAUUGAAAAUACAAGGCAGAAUAAAAAAGGUUGAAAAAAUAAUGUGGAUCUGCCAAACUUGUUGAAUCAUUUUGUAAAUAUUAUUCUUAUCCCUUCAGUUGUAACUUUUUAUCUUUUUAUUAAUUUCUAUGACCUUAUUUUAUUAUGGAAAUUUGCCUUCUAUGUAUAUCGGUAAAUUGCGGUGAUAAUGUCAAAUUACGAAAAAAGCGUAUUAUAUUUGGAUAAUUAUAAUCACCGUCUCAACUAUGAAUUUCCUUGCCCGUUCAUCCUGAAGUAUUAAAUUUAGUGGAAUCUUCUAGAUUAUGUGGAAUAUUUUCUUGUUUGUUCUCGUUUUAGCUCAUUCGAGCUCCACAUUUUGAAACAAGAUGAUCAUAAGAUAUGUCUCUUAGCUUGUAAAUAUUAGAUUUUGGUGCAUCGAAAACUGCAUUUAUGCACAAAACGAGUGCAAUCUAUAGAAUAUUCCACAAAAUCUAGAAAAUUCUGAUGAAUUUGACACCAUAAAGGUAAACGUGUAAGAAGAUUCAUAGUUGAGGGCGUGAUCGUAAUUUCACCUUACUUCAAGGGUUUUUUAUAAUUGACCGUAAUUUACCCAAUAUUAAACUACUUAAAAAUCGUUAUAGAUGAAUUUUACAAGAAAAAAUACUUUUAGAUCUUAAUUAAUGCUAAUUUUGACAAAUUAAUUGGCUAAUGAUGUAAUCAUCACUUCUCUAAUUUUGCCACUCUAGGCAUGGAAAAUUAAUGUACGUGCCCAAAAAGUCACGGGUGUAAUAACACAUUUGAUUGAGAAAUUAUUUCUCAACUGCCAAUAGUGAAUGCUAUUAAAUAUUUAAUAACGAAUAUUUAAUAUUUAUAAUUUCAAUUAUUCAGAUUCAAACAAUUUCAAGAUUAUAUGGUUCACACAAUAACAAGUUGCUUCAUAUAUAUGUGCCAUGUUUUGCACCUGUAAUUAAAUGUACUUUUCAGUCCCUAUUCUGCAUAGUGGUCAAUAUUACUCGAUCAAAAAAUACAUAAUUUAUCUAAUCAUUAAAAUUGGAAUAUUUUAAUUAUAUAAAUAAAAUAAAUAUUACGUAAUUUACGCGUGGCAAUUAUUUUAUUACAGUAAUUUUGUAUGUUGGGGUAGACAGUGUGACGUCAAUUAAGGUAGUUAUAGUGAAAACAUUUCAUAAUCGAAUUAAAUCCACUCAGACCCACAUCUCGUGGUUGACGUAAAUUGCCGGAUGGGCUUUUAUUUUUAUUUUUUUUAUUAUUUUUUUUUCUAAAUAAAAAAAAAUAUAAGUAAGUUGCAGAAUUAUUUUAUUAUUGAUCGGUGACCAUUGAUUAGUUCAAAAUGGGGUAUACCAAGAUGAUGAUGAUGAUGAUGACGUAAUAUGGCGGUGUUUGAGAAGUCAAUUUUUUACAUGGGAUUUAAAUAAUUUGAUUAUAUUUUCUCCAAAAAAACAAAAAAUAAUAAUAAUAAAUAAAAAUAAUUGAUUAUGAUGAUGUGAAAUGGCGGUGGGUACGAAUCUCUCUUCACCAUUCAAUUUGUGUGGAAACUUUUUUUUACUUUUAGUGGAAAAUUAGGUUUAUAUAUUGUUUGUAGCAUUUAUGUAUUAAUAAAUUAAUUAAUACUCAUAUUUAAAAAAAAAUGUUUUUAAUAAAUUUAAAUGUUCAAACUCUGAUUUUAAUAUUUUUCUUUAAACUAAUUAGAUGCUACAUAUUGGUAAACUACAAUAUGAGUCUUGGAUUUCUUUGACUAAUCUAUCUAUAUCUAAAUAAAAUAAAUUAAUUAAUUAAUGAAUAAACCUUAUAAAUCAACCUUAAUAUAUUUCCACAUGAAGAAGCAACAAAAGUGCCUUCUUCAUUGUAAUAACCUAUACAUACAUAUAGUCUAUAUCUAUCUAUCCAAAUCUAUAAGUAUUUUCCUCAUUUGCCUUUGCUUGCAUGCGAAGGCAAACGAAUAAACGACGAUCCAUCUUCUCAACUAACAGCAUCGAUCGAUCACGGCAUUAUUGUAUAGACGAGAUAAACGAAGUAGUACUAUUACGAUCAUAGUACUCCACAAAACUCGCGUUUUUAAUUAUAUUACUACUACUACUAAUAACUAUUGCAUCUUUCGUGACGUUCGACGAACCGCCGCAUUGCCGAGGCUGCGUUUGGUAGAACACUUUCGAGACGACUAAUUCUCCCUCCUUUUCGUCUUCGUUAUCGCCCAAGUGGUACUGGUGCAUCACCCAAUUUGUCUUCUCGGGUUUUCUUUGCCUCCCGUAGUUUGUGUAGAGUACGAGUAUUUUUUUGUAGCCUUUGAUAAUAUUAUUAUUUUUUUCGGAUAAUAAUAAUAAUCCAGCUGUCGAAACGAAUAUUGGCCUAGUUUUGCCUGUCUUGUGCCACCUUGUUUCGCCUCCGUCUAUGGUGUUGUCGCUGUUGACUUUUCUUCGUUUACGAGUCCCCGUCGUGUACGCCUUUGAGGGCCUAUGGAAAAAAUGUCGUACUUGUCCAUCUUUUUUCACUCCUAUAUACGUAUAUACACGAGCAGAAAUAAUCAUUUAAAUCGAACACUACGCGUUCGGUACAUCCUUAGACCUCGUUUGGUUGGUAAAAUAUAUCACGAUUAGUUGAUUUAUCGAGAAAUUGUGUAUUAGUUAGAUUGACAUACAUAAGUAGCUAGGCGUCAUAAUAAUUAGAUUAAGCAAUCUCUUAGUUACAUUGACAAAUAAAUUAUCCAAGUAAAGAAAUUAAAAAAAAAAUUGAUUCAUAAAACAUAUAUACACCUGGUAGCUUUUCUGGAUGAGUGUAGCAAAUUCCAUUUUCGCCCUCGAUAGUCGGAAUAAAUUCGUCGAUAAGAGGAUGUAAUUUCCGGGUAUCGGAGAACACUUUGGCUUCUAGAUGUUGAAGAAUUUCUUGAUCAGAUGGAUCAAAUUUCACACCAGCAGGUAGUCCAGGCAAAUCUUGAACUCCAGUCUAGUUAAUUCAUCAAUAUUAACAUAUUUAUUAUUCAUCAUCAUUUAAUUUUUUUCAUACAUAUAUUAAUAAUAUGAUUAGAGAUGAAAUAGUAUAUAUAAUAGUUAUUGCAUAAUUAUAUGAAGAUUGAACAUGUACCUGAUCUUGGAGCUUUACGGUGUGGCCGCACGAAGGGCAGAUUACGGUCCUGAUUCGAUUAUUGUUAUUAUGAUCAUCACACCAUUUCAUUUCUUCUAGAACUUUCUCCACCUAGAUCUCCUCUCUGAAAAUUAAACCUAGAGAAAAUAAAUUAACAAGCUAAGAGAAAAAUCAAGAAUUCUAUCUUCAACUAUUAUAUUACUUAUAUAUAUACAUGCAAGAAAAUUAAAUAAUGAAUAUUAUAUUAGUUGUGUAGAAAAAAACAACUAGGUUGCUUGGACGCAAAGUCUGGUUUUGUUCUAUACAUACACUAUACAUACACAAUAUAUAUACACAAGAUCAUAUAUAUAUAUAUAUAUAUAUAUAUAUAUAUAUGAAUUAAUUUGUACUGUGUGAAAGAUGGUAACAAAUUAAAAUAUGAGAAGUGAUGUAAGAAGGAAUUAACUUAGAGUGCAAAUGGGGCAACAGUUAUUCUUUAUUUUUAGACAUUUCACCUGUUUUAAUUAAUUUAUAACUAUAUAUACCUAAGAGCUUGUAGAUCCAGUGUCAAUUAUAUAUAUUCUAGAGUGUUCUAGAAGCUUUUUCUUUUGUGGAAAACACAAUUUGCUAUAGCAAUAUAUACAUAUAUGUACCAACUAAUGUGAUAGUAACAAAUUAAACCACGGUUAUAAUAUAUAUAUAUAUAUAUAUAUAUAUAUAUAUAUAUAUAUAUAUAUAUAUAUAUAUAUAUAUAUAUAUAUAUAUAUACCAAACAACAUAUGUAUUGUUCUACUUGUGUAUGUAUCAUGUAUGUAUUAUUUCUUGGAGUACAAUUCUUCUUGCAAGCAAGGCAUAUUGCUUCAAUAUGUACUCAAUAUAUAUAAUACACCUAUAAAUUUGUUGUUUCUUUGUUGUGAAUUAAGAAUGAAGAUAAAUAUUUUAACUACCAUUUUACUUACUUAAUAAUCUUUUUUGGCUAAAUUACAACCACCAAACUGUAAUUAGAAAAUGGUGUUAAUGUAACAAAACUACAAAUUGCAAGGUGGAUGUAAUGUAAUUAUGGAAAAAUGAGGGGGUUUUCGUAAAUAGACUUUACUUCAAGGGCGCGGUUGUAAUUUACCCUAGCUUUCUAAGGUCACUUGAUUUCGACGACACUACACUCUCUUUUGAAACUUGUUUUUCGUAAUUUGAUCUUAACUCACUGGGUGACCGUAAUUUACUCUUAAUUUUCAUACAUGACGUAUAAGUUCGGUUGGAUCUACAAAAUAAUGACGUCAUUACCUAUAUUUAUAUUCUUCCAUCAAUUGGAAAAAUGCAAAAUUCAUAAUCAUUUUAUAGUUCACAUUGAAAGUGUUUGUUUUCGAAGUUAUUUGUGGCUUUAAUUUGAAGCUUUUUUGGUUAGAAGCCAAAAAGAGGACUGGCUUUUUGAGAAGCUAUUAUGCGUCAUGUGGCUUUUGUGCAUGGAAAUUGCAUGACAAUCUGGAUAACUACCAAUAAUUUUUGUUUUCAUUAGAAUAAAUAUUAUUAAGAAAAUAAAUGAAAUUAAUAAAAUGCACAUUAUUUAGAGUUUAAAAUAUUUAAUUUUACAAAAUUAAUUAUAUUUAUGAAUUUUGAUUAUACUUGCAUGAGAUCAUGAGGGCCACAAUUUGGUGGGGAUGGACAAUUGGGAGACCCGAAACCGACCCAUAAUUUGGAGCGUUCGGUUUCGGGUCCGGGUCGGGUUCGAAUAGUUGUAAACAAAACAUUGAAAUUACAUGUGAAUGACAAAAAAGAUGGAAAAAAUACGUGUAAUGAAUCGAUCACACCACACUUUCUUGAUCGUUAGAAGCAUCUUCGUAGUAAUAAGGCGUUAGUUUACCGUCUUUGUCGACAUUUUUCACCUCGUUUAUACCGGCUAUUUCUUGCAUCAUCUUCACAACUCGUCUCAUAGAAGGCCGAUUAAUCGGGAGUGCGCUGGUGCACAGUAAGCCUACGUUGAGGGCUCGGCAUAUUUCAUCCUUGAAACAAUAAUCGAGUUUUGGAUCAAUCACACUCUCUAAUCCCUCCUUAUCCAAUGUCGAAAACACCCAUUUCACCAAAUCCUUCGUCUCGCCAAACUCCGGAUCCACCGGAAGUUUCCCACUAAUCAGCUCGAGAAUCACUACACCGAAACUGUAUAUAUCACUCUUUUCGUUCACCCGAAGCGUGUAAGCAUAUUCUGCGAUUUAAUAAAAAUAAGUAAAUAAAAAUGUAAUUUUGCAAUCAAGAAUUUCGUAUUUUUUAGUAAAUAGAAUAUUUUUUUCGAGAACCUAACCUGGCGCGAUGCAGCCGCAAAGACCCUGCAAUAAAGGACAUGGAUUUCGAAUCGACCAUCUUUGCUAAACCGAAAUCCGCAAUUCUUGCCCCGAAUUCGGAAUCCAAUAAUAUGUUAUUCGAUUUCACAUCUCUAUGAACAAUCGGAGGGUCACAAUCAUGGUGCAAGUACGAUAGCCCCUCAGCAGCAUCCAUUGCUAUCUUGAGCCUCAUCGGCCAAUCCAAUAAACCCCUUUUCGUACCGUGAAGAAAAUCGCCUAAACUACCAUUAGGCAUGUACUCGUAAACCAAAAGCUUAGAAUCCCUUUUAGUACAAGAACACCACAAUUUUACGAUAUUCUUGUGCCUAAUCUUCCCCAACGUCUCGACCUCAGCAUCAAAAUUACCGCCGUUACCCUUAGCUUGUCCGGAAAUUCCGAUUUCUCCCAUAGCUUUUUGACAGCAACGGCCAAAUUACCAUGACUCAAAACAACCUUGUAAACCUUACCCGACGACCCACUUCCGAUCACAUUAUCUUCAUCGAGAGCAUCCAUUAUUUCGCUCUCGUUGAAUCCCAAUUUGUGGAAUGACGUUAUCGUCCACUUCGAUUGAUCGUUGGUCUUUUUGAUUUUCUUGAUUUUCUCGAACUUGAAGUACAACCCGAUUAUGCCGAGUAAAAGUACUAAUCCACAAAGCACGAAAAUUGAUUUCAAGAACCAAAUGUACCCCAUUUUCUUGAUUUCCCUUCUCCCAUUAGAUAAACCUGGAUUUCCCAAGAAGCUGUCUUUGUACAAACCCUUUCGAAUACAAGGGCGGAAUAUCGCCGGUGAGAUUGUUAUACGAUAAAUUCAGCUGAUUGAGCUUCAAAUUCUGAAUCCCGAUUGGGAUUUUACCCGAGAAUCGAUUUUCCGAUAAAUCGAGAUAAUUUAGAACAGGUAAAUCCCCAAUUUCGUUCGGAAUUUCGCCUGAAAAGUAAUUAUUCGCUAAAUUCAGCUCGUUUAGCUUCUUCCAAGAAUGAAUUCCGUUCGGAACUCCACCGGAAAACGCGUUGUGAUGAAGAUCAAGCUUUACUAGUUGCCCUAGAUUCACUAUACUACCAGGUAAAAAACCAGAAAAAUUAUUGUUAUUACCUGAAAACUCCAAUAAACUGUUCAGAAACCCUAUCUCCGGCGGCAGAGCGCCGGAAAAAUUGUUGCCGGACAAAAUCAAUUGAGAUAAAUUGGACGCGCCGGCAAUGGUUUUUGCGAUUCCACCGGAAAAUGAAUUGCCAGCUAGCUCAAGUAAUGACACGCGAGGGAGUCCCCAAAAUCCCGCCGGCAAUUCACCGGAGAAUCUGUUGUGCCCUAACCUCACUCGCAACAAGCUCCGGCAUUCACCUAGACUCGCCGGAAUUUCGCCGGAGAACGAAUUUUCGAUCAGUAACAGCUCCUCUAGAGCUCCAUUGGAACACAGAUUCUCCGGUAUUUGGCCGGAGAAGUUGUUUGUCGAAACAUCAAUCCACUGCAACGGCGAGUUCUUACCGAGAUCCGGCGGUAAAUUCCCCGAUAACUGAUUCCGGAAAAGCUUUAACUCGUACAAAUUCGGAGAAUUGGCAACGCCGGCGGGUAAUUCACCCCCCAAAUUAUUCUCGUACAGAUUGAGCGACUCGAGCGGCAACUCACACAACUCGGCCGGGAUCGGCCCGGUCAAUCGGUUCGUGGACGCGUCGAACCGCCGCAAUGACGUCAUAUUCAACCACCCGUUCUCCGGCAGUUGACCGGUCAACGAGUUAUUGUACAUCUCCAGCUGAACCGCACCAGUCAACCCAGUGAGCGAGCUCGGAAUUUGACCGGUCAACGAGUUGUACGCCACGUCCAAAUCAGUGAGUCUGCCGAGCCGACCCAACGAGUCAGGGAUUUCACCAACUAAAUUAGUCUCCGUCAGCCACAAAACCUCGAGUUUGGUGAGAUUACCGAGCUCCGGCGGGAUCCGACCCGGGUAAAACGGGUUGUAAGAGAGAUUCAACUGCUUCAACGUCGAAAUAUUCCCGAGAAAAGACGGAAUUGCCCCUCCCAGCAAAUUCUCCACCAAUGAAAGCACUUCGAGUUUCCGGAAAGCUCCGUAAUUAUCGGGGAUGUCACCGGAAAAGUUGUUCCCGGUCAAAUCAAGGUACUUCAAGUUCGGGAGAUCCGCUAGUGUGCGGGGGAGAACACCGGUUAGGUAAUUUUGCGCCAAAUCAAGGUGCUCCAGUUCGCGACACGUGGCGAGGGCUUCUUCGGUGAGGGUGGAGUUGACGAGGUUGUCGUAGAGAGAAAUGUAGGAAAUGCUUUUGAGGCGGCAUAGGAUGGAAGGGAAGGGGCCGGAGAGGCUGGAGCUGGAGAGGUCGAGGGAGAUGACGGAGGCGGAGGCGGAGUUGGAGUCGGAGUCGCAAACGACGCCGUUCCAUUUGCAUGGGGUCUCGUCGCGUGGGUCCCAGUCGGAGAGGACCCCGUUUGGGUCGUCGAACCCGAGCUUGGCUAUCUGGAGGUAUAAUCCUUCUUUGUUGAUGCAACCAAUAUGAUGAGGAGAAAUGAGAACGAUGAGUAGGAGCAUUAGACGGAGACGAAGGUCGAGCAUUUUUCUAAUGCUGUGGUGGACGGUAAUAUUACUUGCUUUAAUUAUUUAAAUCCAUAUAUAUAUAUAUAUAUAUAGAUGGAAGAAUUGUGUGUCCUUGAAGUUAGACAAGUGAACAGAUGUGAUAAUAACGAUGAACUGAAAAAGCAAGAACACAUUUGAUUUGAUGAAAGGCAGGUAUAAUUAAUGUUUGUAGAUUUUAGUGAAUGUUUGGAGAAUUUAAUGAUGUCGGAUCUCAGAUAGUACUACUGCUGCUUUAACAUGAAUUAAUUACUGUGGCUAUGAAAGCUGAUAUUCAGCCUUGUCUAAAGUGGGCCCAUCUUUAACAAAGUACUAUAUUUUAUUAAGGAAGUCCCAUUAUUGUUGGUUAAAUUUACGAAAAGGCCCCUUUCUUUUGGAUUAUUAAGAUUAUCCAUUCAGUAUAAAUUUUUUUACACGUCUAUUUUAACGUUUUACGAUGUCAAAAUUAGUGGAAUCUUGUAGAUUAUGUUGAAUCAAGUUUGUACACGUUUUACCCCAUUAGAACUCCACAUUUUGAUUUGAAACAAGAUGAUCAUAAGAUGUGUUCUCGACUUGUAAAUAUCAGAUUGUGUUGCAUCAGGAACUGCAUUUUUGCAAAAAAAACGAGCAGUACAAGCUAGAGAACAUUCUACUGAAUCUAGAAGAUGAUGUUGGAUUUAACAUCAUAUGGGUGAAUGUGUAAGAAAAUUCAUAAUUGAUGAGUAAUUUGUAAUUAUCCAAAUAUAAAAGUUUUUUUAUAAUUUAAUUUUACUGCAGGAGAUUUACCCAAAUAAAUACUUAUAAGAGAUAUCAUUUGCUGUUAUUGUCUUUUAGACCUGACUCUAUGACCAGACAUAGUAAUUGAAGACAUAGUUAAUAUGUGGUAAUAAUAGUUUCUUGCUGUCUCAUUACUGCAUGCUGGGAAGUUGACCAAAUCAACAGAGUCAACAUAUAGUUAAAUCAAGGCACAAAAUUAGUGAAUAAAAAUCCUUUGGUUUUAUAGCUUUGCUUUGAUUUUACUCAAUCAUGAUUGCAUCUCAUAAUCAUUUAUUUACCAUGCCCAAACACUGAUUAAUACACCUGCUAAAUAUUUCCUACUAAUAAUACAUCAUUGUCGUGUAAAAUAAAUUAAUUAAUAUUUGCAACAUAUAUAACGUCACAGAAAAAUCAGAAUUUUAAUCUCAAGGGUAAUUUUGUAAUUCAUUAUUAUUUUUAUAAUUUAAUUAAAGAAAUCUUUUCUUAAGCCAACUUGAAGCCACUAGUGAUCCAUUAAAAAAGGACUAAAGCGGCCACAUUCUAACUUAAUCCAAUGAUGAUUAGUCCUAAUUACAUGUUAGUUAGAUGCUAAUUAGUAUUUCAAGAUUGGAAGAUCUUUGUGGGACCCAAUUAUUAGCUCUUUUGUAAACUCUUAUGCAAAUAGCAAACUUUUAUAUCUUUUUAUAUAUAAAAGUAAGAAACGAUAGUUCAAUCUAAAAAGCUCUAACGGUAUAUUCGUGAUAUUUUUAAUUAAUUAUAAGUAUUCUUUUCUUCUUCUAUUCCAUAUCUUUUGUUUUUUUUAAUGGGUUUCGUAGCAAAUCAAAUUUGCCAAUUCGCCAGUAAAAUCCUAAUUUGUUUGCAUAGUUUGUUCUUUUAACUCCUUCUCUUUCUUACACACCGAUUAUAAUUUGUUUUAAUACAAUUUAAUUAUCAUAUAUUUAAAUUUUCAGAGCAAAAAAAACCCAAUGUACGAGAUUUAUAACGAUUAAAAGAAAAGGAUAAGAGUUUUUAAAUAGCAAGUACAUAAAUUGUUUCAAAAAGAUAGCCACUUUCAUCAUUGUCAUCUUAUCCUUCAACCAACUUCCUACCCAUCCCACCACCUUCACUUUUAAUUACAUUUAUUGCAGAUUUGUUAACUAUAAAUUACAUACUUUAUAUUUUUAAAUGUGAUCUUUUUUCAUUAAUAAUAAUAAUUUAUGAGUAUAUAUAUAUAUAUAUAUAUUAUUAUCAAGAAGUUAAAAAAAUAAAAUUUAAUAUUUCUUGGUGGCAUGGAGUCCAAUUGAGGGUCACGUGGAACAGUGAGGACGAAUCAAUCAGCUUUCAUUUCUUAAUCGUUUACCUAAUACCUCACUUUAAUCCCAAAGCAUCUCUCAUUAAGGCAAUAAUCAUGGGGCUAAUUAUUGUAUCAUGUUAGUCAACUUAUAAUAAUCAUGCAAUUAAAUCAAUCACCCAAUCUCCUAUUUGCAGCCAAAUUAAUUCAAAAUAAAAACAAUGAUAUGGACUACGUCGCGCAUAUGGGCCUCGUGUAUAAUGACAAUAUAAAUCACUCGUAAAAACUCAGAAAGGGCAGUCCAGUGAAGCCCAAAGCGGUAGGCUCAAGCCUCUUAAGAGCAUGAGGAACCGUAAAUGAUGAUGUCAUGGUAUAUUCCUGUUACGAUUACGUCGCGCAGCAACACGAGGUGAAGACACAGAACUCUAGAACCUAUGGUAUGACCUCGAAUUGGGGAUUUGAACGACGAGAUAACACUCGUUUAACAUAGCCCAUUAAAUGCGGUCGGACGUUGCAGGAACGUUGUCCAACCGAGAUUCUGACGGGAGAUAAAGACCAACGCAAGCAAGUCUAGACCGACAUCAUCACACCGACAAUCGAAACUCGAUCAAACCGAUUGAUUUUCAAAAUGUCACUUGUCAACAAAAGUAAUUUUUUGGGCCUACAAUUUCCGAAUUGGAUUGGGUGUCUAAAUAUUUAACUCAUUUUAGUGGCCCAAUUUAUGUUAUCGAGUAAGACUGAGGCCCAUGUCUAAAGUUCAUUCCUACCAAAUUGGGCCUUGGACUAUUUCGUAAAAAGUACGAGUUCAAAUCGCAAAUCGGAAUUUAUGAAGACAAAAAAUCGCUCCAAAAAUCGGAAUUUUUCUGAUCGAAAUUGACCGAAUUCGGAAAAUUCCAAUUUUUUGCAACAUGAAAUACGUAAUACUUUUGAUAUUUUUAGUGUAACUUUAGGAAAACAAAUUCGGAAUUUCUGAAAAUUUAAAAUCAAACCGAAAAUUGGAAUAAUCCAAUUCCAAUCCAAAAAAAAAAAUCGAAAAUCUGAAACUGCAUUUCAUUUUCCACCCCUACUGAAAUGAAAAUAAGAUUCUAAAUUUGUAGAAGUUAGAACAUAGUGAAAUAAAAUAAUGGAAUAUCCCUCAUCUAAAACAUUAUUGGUACAAGACAAGGAAAACUAAAUAAAUAAAUAAAUAUAGAUACCUAAAUAAAUAGGAAAGAUAUUUGAGGAAAAAAAAUGAUAAGGAUGUAGAGGAAUUGGAUUGCAGGCAUUGGACAAGACAAGUUCUUCCUCACAGACCUCUCAAUUGAAUCCUGAUCAUGGAUAAGAUAAGACUACCUUGCCCCACUUCUGAUUUCUUGAUCUAAUAAUUCCCAAUUCCACUUCAUUUUGCCUAUCCCAAUUUUGAUUUACUAUCCCAAUUUUCUUUUCAUUUAAUCCAUUUUAUUUUAUUUUAUAAAUGCACCUCACAUACAUUUAAUUUACAAAACAAGAAAACUUGCAGGAUUUUUUUUUUAUAUAUUAUUUUAAUCUAAAUCAAAUUUCAGAAAUUAUAAAAUACAAAAUUGCAGAAAAAAAAAAAAACGUUGUGUAAUUUAGACAGUAAAUUUAAAUAAUCUUAUUUUUAUAUUGAAGUGAUUAUAUAGAGAUAAUGCAGAAAAAUUAAAAAAGUGUAAUUACUUAAUCAAUGAACUUUUGAUUGUAAUUACAUGUAUGGCCUCUAAUUUAUCGAAAAAUAACAUUCAAUAUAUCAAAAAACAUAAGACACAAAAGAAAAAAAUAAUACCAAAAAAUACAUAUUAUCCCAUUUAUCUAAAAGAAAAUAAUAAUAAUAAAAAAAAAAAAAAAAAAAAAAAUCCCGCGAAGCACAAUAUCCGUGAGAAGAUUAAAAAUCCAAUUCAAUGUGGACCGCUCAUUUCAUCACCUCAUAAAAACCACUUAAAAACAGUCCUCCCAUUUCCCGUGCAAGUUAACCUUUCCGGCGCACGUUAAUUCCUCUGCAUAGGAACACCGGAGUACUCACUGCUCACUCUCUUCUCUCUCUCUCCACCACUUCUCUUCUCCCCUCCCCAAAAUUCCGGCAAUGGAGUCUCGCGUUCUCACCGGCGCCACCAUCCGCGGCCUCUCACUCCCCUCGAAGCCCGCGGCGAGGCUCGCCGGAAACAGCAGCUUCCCCACGGUGAGGCUCACCGGAAAACUCAGCGACGGCGGGAACCUGAUAUGCGGAAGGCAGCUCCGCCCCGCGAUCCUCCUGGAAGCUUCUCCCGUGGCGACCGCAUUUUGUUCUCCGGUGAAGAAGAGGGACAACCUCCGCCCUUGCCUCGCCGCCGCUUCUUCGCCGGCCGGCAGUAGCGAUUCCUCCGGGUGAGGUCCGUUUUCAUGAUAUCCGAUCGGUCACUCGACCCGUUUUCGAAACCCUUACCCGUUUUCUCUUGUUUCCGCAGGGGCGCCAAAGUCGGGUUCCUCGAGAAAUACCCUGCCCUCGUCACCGGGUUCUUCUUCUUCAUGUGGUACGUUUCAUUUCAUCACACUACAUAGAGAGAGAGAGAGAAGCUUACUUGAAAUUACUUAUUUACCCCUGCUGUUUGCAGGUAUUUUCUCAACGUGAUUUUCAACAUCCUCAACAAGAAGAUCUACAAUUACUUCCCUUAUCCCUAGUAAGCAAGCAAUCAAUCAAUCAAACCCUCAAUACUAAUUAAUUAAUUCUGCAUAAUUAACUAUUAAUCCAAAACAAUUAAUUAAAUCUGUUAAUUGUGUCUGUGCAGUUUCGUAUCGGUCAUACAUUUGUUUGUUGGUGUUGUCUACUGCUUGCUGAGCUGGUCCGUCAGCCUCCCGAAACGAGCCGUAAGUUUUUUUUCCGAACCGCAAUUUAAAUAAUCAAUUUAUCGAUUUGUUGCACCAAUAAUGCAAUCGUUCCGAUAACGACAUUUGUACGAUGAGUUAGUGAAUAUGCCACAUUUCAUAUAUAUAUAUAUAUAUGCAAAUUUCGAGUGAAUACGUUGAUCCAAUAAUUUAAUUCCGACAUUUAUUUGUUCUGUUUUUAGCCGAUUGAUUCGAACCUGUUGAAGCUGUUGAUCCCGGUGGCUGCUUGCCAUGCUUUGGGCCACGUAACUAGCAACGUUUCGUUUGCUGCAGUUGCAGUCUCGUUCACUCACACCAUCAAAGGUGGAUAUAUUUUUAUUUUUUCAUAUGAUUUAGGAAUAAUCAUUUUCAUUAAAAAAUGCUCUAAUUUUUUUUUUUUUUGUAUAUCUGAUCAGCACUCGAGCCUUUCUUCAACGCUGCGGCUUCACAAUUCGUUCUCGGACAGUCGAUUCCGAUAACUCUAUGGCUGUCAUUGGCUCCAGUUGUCAUCGGUAAUCUCUCACAUUCCCAUUCCCAAUUUAAUUUUACUUUGCUUCUUUCAUAUCAUAUCUUAAUUCUUAAAUCAAUAAAAACCAAUAUAGAGGUGGUGUUUGCAAAAGCUUAUAAAAAUCGAUUAUGAGCCUUUUUCUGCAUAUAAUUUAUUUUUAGUUGUUUGCAAAACAAGCUUUUGCUUCUUUUAAAAUAAGCUGCUAUUUUUAGUUGUUUGCAAAACAAGCUUUUGCUUCUCUUAAAUAAGUUGCUUUAAGCUGUAAUUUUAAAAGCACCCAUGUGCCUGCUUUUUCUGUUGUAGACUUUUAGUUGAUUUUCCAACUAAUUCGCAAAUACCCCAACUUUUAGAAAUAAACACUUAAUUCCAACUCAACUCACAAUCACUAACUUCUACUUUUAAAUAAACUUUUGCAAACACCACCAGAGUAGAGUUUCCGAAGGUUUUCUCAAAUUUUCUUGGAAUCUUUUUAUUAAAUCAAUAAAAAUCAAUUUAGCUUAGAGUUUCAUAAGAGUUUCUCGAAUAUUUUCUUGUUUUUUUUUUUUUGUUUUUUUAAAUUGGUAUAAUUUUCUUGGAUAAUGACUAUUGAGUUCCACGAUCCGUAACUAGACAACAAUUUUUUCGAAUUUUUUUAACGGUUAAAAUCCGAGUACAGGUGUGUCGAUGGCAUCGUUAACCGAGCUGUCGUUCAAUUGGCUGGGAUUCGUCAGCGCUAUGAUUUCCAACAUCUCGUUCACUUACAGGAGCAUAUAUUCCAAGAAAGCUAUGGUUAAGUGAUUGCUAAUUUUUAUUUUUCUCGAUAUUUGCCGUAUUGAAAUAAUGUUCGUGCUAUUACUUACUAAGCGAAUGCUUUUUCUCUGCAGACUGAUAUGGACAGCACCAACUUGUAUGCUUACAUUUCGAUUAUCGCUCUCAUCGUCUGUAUUCCUCCUGCCUUAAUUGUGAGUUCCUAGUUUCAAUCCUCCCUCAAGUUCGUUUUCUACAGUUUCUACUUUUUUCUUCUUACUUAAUUUUUUUUUAAUUUAAUUUAAUUUAAUUUAUAAUUAUUAAUUACACAGAUUGAAGGGCCUCAACUAUUGAAAUAUGGGUUUAGUGAUGCAAUUGCUAAAGUGGGCUUAACAAAGUUCAUCACUGAUCUUUUCUGGGUUGGAAUGUUUUACCAUCUCUACAAUCAGGUACUUAAAUCUAACGUGCCCGAUUAAAAAAUUAAUUACGAAAUUAAAAAGCUAAUUAUUAAUUAAUUCUUCAUUUGUUCUUAGCUUGCAACGAACACACUCGAGAGAGUGGCCCCACUCACCCAUGCUGUUGGAAAUGUGUUGAAGCGUGUCUUUGUCAUCGGCUUCUCAAUCUUGGCCUUCGGUAAAUAUAUAUUUUAUCGACGAUUUUUUUUUAAUGUUUUUAAUUUGGAUGUUUAUUUAUUAAUGAUGUAAUUAGAGGUUUAAUUGAUUUGAUUUAAACUUUUGCAGGUAAUAAGAUCUCGUUGCAAACUGGUAUCGGUACUUCCAUUGCAAUAUUUGGAGUUGCAAUGUACUCCUUCAUCAAGGCUCGGUUGGAAGAAGAGAAACGAGUAAGCACAAACAUUUGCACUUAAAUCUAAUUCGGUUAUAUAAUUUUCUUUAAAUAGUUUAAUUGGAAAAUAAUCAGUAAAUUAAUUUCAUCGUUUUUUUAUUUACGACACGACAGCAAGGAAAAGCAGCUUGAGUACUGAUGCUCUGCUGGGAGAAGAAGUAUUAUGAGUUCUAAAUGCGACCAUUCCUCGUUUAUGUAAUAAGUUCUUUCGAUAUUCAAUUUCUUUUUAAUUUAAAUUUCUGAUUUAUGUACGUCCUUUCCUUCGUUCGAUUCGAGAUGACUGUAAUAAUUCGCGAUUUCCUCAUGCGGUCGACAUUUUGAUCGGAUUAAUUUCGAGGGUCGAAGUUGUGAAUAGUGUCAUUUUCUGUGGGAACAAAUCUGUUACAAAUUUCCUUGCAUCAUGCCAUUGUUUACUUUCUUGUCGGGUAUUUCUGCUUCGUUUGCUCGACUAUAAAAUAUAAAAUAUAUAAUCUAAUUUGGUUUAUUCGACAUGUUCAUCAAUCGUCGUUUAUUCUAUGAUACAUCGAGUAAAGUACACGAAUGUAUUAUUAUGGUUUAUUUACACAUAAAAAUUGUCAUUUGUCAGGCAUUCAAAUUAUUAGGUAAGAUUAAAUUAUGGAAAACCCCAUCAUGUUUGGGUAAUUACAACCACCCCUGAACUGUAAAAUCUUCUUACAGGUUCAUCAUAGCGUCGUCAAAUUUAGUGGAAACUUUUAGAUUAUGUUGAAUAUUCUUGGCUUUGUACCCGUUUUACCUCAUUCGAACUCCACAUUUUAAAACAAGAUGAUCGUAAAAUAUGUCCAUUGGCUUGUAAAUAUCAAAUUGUGGUGAAUCAUAAACUGUAUUUUUGCAGAAAACGAGUACAAGCUAGAGAACAUUCCACGGAAUCUAGAAGAUUCUAUUUAAUUCGACACCAUAAGGGUGAACAUGUAAGAAAAUUCAUAGUUGAGAGGGUAAUUGUAAUUAUCCAAACAUAAGGGGCUUUUUCGUAAUUUACCCUAACUUAAAUGAAAUACUAAAAUAUGAUUAAACCAAAAAAUAGCGGGAUCAGUUUAUAUAUAAACAAUAAAAGAGAAAAAUAAAAUAAAUUCAUACGCAAAACACAAAGUCUCAAGUCAAAUCAAGAUUAAAUUUUUAUAUUUUGCCCCAAGGCUUUUGUUUGUUGUUUGGUUUGAUUUAAAGGAACAAAAAAAAAAAAAAGAAAAAGAAAAAUCUAAACAUGGAAUUUGAUCGCGCGAUAGAUUACUCCAAUCACAAAUACUACAGUUGUUUUCGUGUUGAUAAUUUCAUCGCUGCUUUAUUCUUGUUAAUUCAGCCCUGGAUCUCAAUUUUCCCCUUUAUUCCUCUUUCCCCAAUUAUUUUUUCACGUCCGCAUUUGCAAUCGCACCCUUAUUUACAAAUUAAUUUUAUUGGUAUAUGUACAUCACUCGCGCGUCAAAUUCCUCUCAUUUGUUGUGUUUUUCGAUAACGUCGUUAUCUCGAAACAAUUUUUUGGGGGAAUUUUUGGGCUGCUAGGGUUUGUGGGCAGCCGAUUGAUCUGUAAUGGAGGCGGGUUCUGAAGAAGAAAAUAAUAUGAACAUGGACCAGAUACCGCCACCGGCGGCGGCGGCGGCGGCCUCUAAGAGGCCUAAGCGUCAGAUGAAGACGCCCUUUCAAUUGGAAGUGCUUGAGAAAGCCUAUGCAAGUAUGUGUUUCUCUUCUUAUAUCUAAUGAAAUUGUUAUGUAUCUGUUUGUUUGUUGGUGAGUUUUUGUUCUCUUCCUGAAAUCUGGAUAAUGGGCUGUGUUGGGUGUUUUAUGAAAUUUUGGUCUUGUGUUUGAUUUAUCGAAGAGAUUUGUAUGUUGCUUUGUUGAUGGCAAUUUUUGCUCACUUUGUAAUUCAUAGUUAUGGGUGUAAUUUGAUCAAGUUAAACACUGUUAUUAGUUUUCAUGAUGUUGGAGUGCGUGUUUGUGUGCCAAGAACCAUUUGGCUUUUGCGUAGAGAUUUUGUUGGUUUUUUGCAUCGGAGUGUUUAUCUUUGAGUGACGGCAUUUUGAUUUGUUGUGGUUCUUUUUAUGCAGCCGAUAUGUAUCCAUCGGAGGCGGCUCGUGCAGUUCUGUCAAAGAAAUUAGAUCUAACGGACCGGCAGUUGCAGAUGUGGUUUUGCCAUCGAAGAUUGAAGAAUAAGAAGGAUUCCGUAGGCAUGGCAGCCACAAAACCUGACACAGCUGGCUCGGUUCAGAGGACAGGUGUCAAUCACUCAUCCAGAGAGGAAUUGAUGGCUUCUGAUCCUGGCAGCAGACAUGGCUCUGAUUCUAGGUCUGGCAAGCAAGACUCUGGCUCGGGAUCAGGAUCGGAUUCUGGUUCCAGCCAGUUCAAUAAUGGAGACGGUAUGCCAACAAGGUAUUUUGAGUCACAUGGAACAGUCAUGGCGCGUAGGGUGAUAGCUCGUAUGGAGGCUCAGUUGGGAGAGCCAUUAAGGGAGGAUGGACCAAUUCUUGGGGUGGAGUUUGAUGAACUACCCCCUGGUGCAUUUGGUGAACCUACAGGUAGGUACAUACUAUUCUCGAGUUGUAUCUGAUAUUUGGGUUUUAACUUUUAAAAGUAUUCAGUAGUUGCUUAAUCGUGAGUUAAAUAAUGGGGCAGGUCUAGAGUGUGAUUCAAUCCAAAUAUAUUGCAGAGUCCAUUAGUGUAUGGUAUUAUGGUAAAGUAUCGAUUUAAUCGCAGUGCGGAGUCCGUUAAUGGUAUCAUUUGGCAUGAAAGUUAGAUAAGAUCCUCCGUAUGUCUCUGUACACUACAGUUGCCUAAUGGACUGUUGAUGUGCUUAGGCAUGAUUGUUUUAGGAUGGUUUCUCUUUUUUUCUCAAAUAAACUUAAAAAAACCGAAAAUUAAAUGAUGAGGAAAUAUUUUUUCAUGUGAAACCUAAAUUUUCUAAAGCACUGCAAUUUGGCAAAAGAGAUAAAUGCUAGUCAACUAAAAUGGUUUUCUGCUGUUUCCAGAUUUGCGUCUCGAGGGUCUUGUAGUUCCGUCUUUUCUUUCUCCAGUUGUUUUUUAAUGGACCACUGACAUUUUCCAUUAUUACCUAUGAAACAGUGCGGAUAGAGGAGAAGGACAGAUACAAACAUUCUUAUGAUCGCAAUUUAUAUGGACAAUCGGAUGUGAAGCAUAUGAAAGUGGGUUCUCUAUCUUUUACAUGUGAAUUUAUAUUUUAUAUUGUAAUUUGUGGACUCGGCAUACAAAUGGUGAUUGUGGGUUAGAUAGCAAAUUUUAGAUGAUCUGAAUUUCUUUCUCCAGGAAAAUUCUGUUUUUCAUUAUGAAAGUUGUAUGAUGAUUAUUCUAUAUGGUUUUUGGGAUAUAGAACACACAAUAUAAGAAUAUUUAAGUGUAUUCAUUGGCUAAAGGACACUGUUAUGUUUAAGUUUUCUUGGGUCAGUCUCGCCUAAGAAAAGUUCACUACCCCCACUCCCCAAUAACUAAAUGCAAGAUUACUGUAAAAAUAAUCUCUGAAUGGAUAUAUUGUAAUCAUUUUUUCCCACUUCAUAGCAGACUGACAACAUUUAUCUCAAUCAAAUAUUAAAAGAAUUGAACUUAAAUUGUUUUGACUCUCAGGCUGCAUAUGAUGGCCCUUCUGCAAAAACAAUGUCUAUUAUGCGUGGAAAUGGGCAUGUUCCCAGGGGAUAUGGUGCUGAGAAUCAGGUGUCAAGCAUGGAUAUAGUGUCUCAGUCUGGUAGACAUGUCCAGCCUUCUUCAUCUCCAAGGAAUAUGAACCUUAUGACAAACCACGAAGACAAUCUGCAUUUAGAGAGGAAAAGAAAGGUACUUUCCGAAUAGUGAAUUUUGUAGUUCAAGAUUCUUAGUAUAUGUCUGCUGCAAUUUCAUUGUUGUCUCAUCUUGUAGAGCGAUGAAGUUGGAAUGGGAAGAGAGGUCCAAGCCCAUGAAAAGAAGAAUCGAAAAGAACUUGAGAAGCAAGAUGUUUUAAGGCGAAAGGUUUGGACGUUGGACAUUGUUGUUUUAUAUUUGAGGGACCUUGAGUUGGUGUUUGCAAAUGAUUAUUUAAAAGCAGAAGUUAGUGAUUGUGAGUUAAGUCAGUUUUAAGUGCUUAUUUCUAAAAGUUGGGGGUGUUUGCAAUUAUUCCGGAAAAUGAACUUAAAUAGAAAAAGUAGGAUUAGGGGUGCUUUUAAAAAAAUAGCUUAAAACAGAUUAUUUUAAGAGAAGCAAAGACAAAAGUUGAUUUUGCAAACACCUGAAAACAGAUUAUGAUUAAAAAAAAGCUCAUAAUCACUUUCAAAAAGCUUUUGCAAACACCACCUAACUAUCUUUGUUGGAAACUGCUUAUAUUAGGUGAGUUAAAAGAUACACUUUGUUUAAUCUGACAUUCUCAUGGCCAUUUUCUUUCCCUCAGAAGGAGGAGCAGAUGAAGAAAGAGAUAGAGAGGCAAGACCGUGAAAGACGAAAGGAAGAACAGCGGAUAAUGCGGGAACAGCAGAGGCAGGAAGAGAAAUUUCAGCGUGAAGAAAAACGUGAAAUGGAACGUAGGGAGAAAUUUAUGCAGAAGGAGCUUUUACUCGUAUGAUCAAACCCAUAUCAUCUCUUGUGACUUCAUAUUAACUAUUUACUUACUAAUGCAAUUCUGUUUAACUUUCCAUGUCUGCACUUUCCAGGCUGAGAGGAAGAAACAGAAAGAAGAGCGUUGCAAAGAGAAGGAAGCAGCAAGACAGAAAAUUGCUGCGGAGAGAGCAGCAGCCCGAAGAAUCGCUAAAGAGUCUAUGGAGCUAAUGGAGGAUGAGCGUCUGGAACUAAUGGAAUUGGCUGCUUCAAGCAAGGGAUUGCCUUCGAUUUUGUCUCUUGAUUACGACACUUUGCAAAAUCUCGAUUCCUUCCGAGGUUGGUGUUGCUUGCUAUGACCGAAUGUAAACGAGCUUUAUCUCCACCAUAGAUGUUUUUUAAAUUGAAAUUUAAUCUGAUGUUGGAUGUUAGACCGGUGAAUUAACUGCAUAUUACUGCCCAAAUGUUGGAUAUUGAACAAGCACCAACAAAAUCUUCCUUGCAUGUUACCUCUUUCCUCAAAUCCUUUCUAUAUACAAGUUUAUCCUGUGUUUGUGAUUUUCUAUUUGUCCGAGACCUUAAAAUGUAUAACUUGUCCCUUAUAUCAAGUGCUUCCAUUCAUUUCUGCUACUUUAUUCACAAAUAAAAUUCUGAGUGAACUUUCUGUGAUUCAGACGCUUUAUGUGUAUUCCCACCGAAGUCUGUGCAAUUGAAAACUCCUUUCGCUAUUCAACCGUGGAUUGAUUCGGAGGAAAAUGUUGGCAACCUCCUGAUGGUAUGCAUUUUAUAUUUUUUCUUAGUUUUCUCCCCGUUCUACUUUUAUUACCUGUUUUUUCGUCAAGGAAUAAGAGUUUGUUCUGUCAGCAAUUGCUAUGUUCUUCGUAAGUUCUGAAAUGAUGAUUGUGCUUUCAGGUUUGGAAAUUCUGUAUCACUUUUGCUGAUGUUCUUGGGCUUUGGCCUUUUACCCUUGAUGAAUUUGUACAAGCUUUUCACGACUACGUAAGUUUUUAGGAUGCCUUUAUUUUUUAAUCUUUACCUUUUCCCUAUGCUCUUCUUUUCUUUUAAAAGGAUUAUGAAUAAUUUCAUGCUUCCUUUCACAUUUUAACAGGAUUCAAGGCUGCUUGGUGAGAUACAUAUUGCUCUUAUAAAAGUAAUUAUAAAAGAUAUUGAAGAUGUUGCAAGGAUGCCUUCUGGUGGACCAGGUACCAAUCAGUAUAAUGCUGUUAAUACCGAAGGUGGACAUCCUCAUAUCGUUGAAGGGGUAAUUAAUUAUGCUCAAUUAUGUUACAUACUUUUGCUUUGCAUAUAUAUGGUCUCUUUUGCUGGACUUAUGUUUAUAUCCUAUUAUUAUCGCAGGCAUAUUUAUGGGGUUUUGACAUCCAUAGCUGGCAGAAACAUUUAAAUCCAUUGACGUGGCCUGAAAUAUUAAGGCAAUUUUCACUCGCUGCCGGAUUUGGACCACAGCUAAAGAAAAAAGGCAUUUAUCGAGUUGGUGCAAAUGAAAAUGACGAGGUACCUUUUUUCACUUCUUUGCGCUUAUAGCCUUUACCAUUCCAAAAGAGUGUUGGAUGAUAAGUUGAUAAUCAUUUCAUUGUGAUAACAACACUUUUUAUAUUUCAGAGUAAAGGUUGUGAAGACAUUGUAUCCACUCUGCGAAAUGGUUCAGCAGCUGAAAAUGCAGUUGCAAUUAUGCGAGAAAAAGGAGUCUCCUUCCAACGCAGAUCAAGGCACCGGUUGACUCCUGGAACUGUUAAAUUUGCUGCAUAUCACGUUCUUGCUCUUGAAGGAAGCAAAGGGCUAAAUGUUAUUGAGCUCGCAGAGAAGAUUCAGGUAACUGAUAGCUACGGUUUUGUAAUGUAGUCUAUAUUAAUUUUUUCUCGUAUCUAAUUUGCUCUUCUUGUAGAAAUCUGGGCUUCGUGAUUUUACUACAAGCAAGACCCCAGAGGCUUCUAUAUCUGUUGCCUUGUCAAGGGAUCCAAUACUUUUUGAAAGAAUUGCUCCGUCUACAUAUUGUGUACGCCCGGCUUUUAGAAAGGAUCCAGCUGACACUGAAUCAGUAAUUGCUGAAGCAAAAGAGAAGAUAAGGAAAUAUGCCAAUGGUUUUCUAGCUGGUCAAAAUGCAGAUGAGGAAGAAAGAGACGACGAUUCAGAUGGUGAUGUUACUGAAGCUGUGGAAGCUGAUGUUUUAGCAACUCCAUCUGAUGCAAACAAAAAUAAUGAAAGCAAUGAAGUUGGCUCCUGUUCUGUGAAUGACAAGGACAAAAUUGCUGAUGGCACUCCUCUGCAAGAAGGAACUAUAAGAAUAGGUAAGAAAUUUGACAUGUUUUUCUUGCGUGUUUUAUUCUGGAAAAUUGAGACCUGUUAAUGAUCGAUAAAUUUAAUUGAUGUUGUUUCUGUAGAUGUGGAGGGUAGUCCUGAUCAAGAUGUUGAGAUUGAUGUAAGGAAAUCUGGUGAAUCUUGGGUCCAAGGACUCAGUGAAGGAGAAUAUUCCGAUCUAUCUGUUGAGGAGCGUUUGAAAGCCCUUGUCGCCUUAACCGGUAUUGCUAAUGAAGGAAACUCGAUCCGCGUAAAUUUAGAGGUCUGAUUUUCUGAUUAUUGUGGGUAGUUGAAAAUUGAAAUUUAGAGCUUCUAGUCUUCUUCUACUUUUUAACAACUGAAGUUAUUGCAGGAUCGGCAGGGUGCUGCAAGUGCUCUUAAAAAGCAGAUGUGGGCAGAGGCACAACUAGAUAAAAGGCGAAUGACAGAAGAGAUUAAUACUAGAUUGUAUAAUUCAUCUUUCAACGCUGUUCUUGAGGGUGGUCUCAGUCCAUUGGUUAUUGUUGAAAAUAAAUUACAUGAUCCAUCAACGAGCACUUUAGGGAAGGACGGGUCUUCUGUUGUUAUUGAGGAUGUUAAUUGUUCUGUUGAUAAUCGAACUCACGAUACAUCUAUGGAUCAAUUUAUUUCCCAAGCGCAACAGAAUGGUUAUACAACAGAGAGGUCUCGAUUGCAGCUAAAAUCUUAUAUAGGUCAUAUAGCAGAAGAAAUAUAUGUUCACAGGUCCUUGCCUUUGGGUCAAGAUAGAAGGAGAAAUCGUUAUUGGCUCUUUAUAGCUUCGACUUCUAGCCUAGAUCCUGGUUCGGGCAGAAUUUUUGUUGAAUCGCCAGAUGGCCAUUGGAAACUUAUUGAUUCUGUGGAGGUAGGCACUUGUCAAAUUCUACUCCAAACUUCCUUUUUGUUUUAUUGUGGGCUUCUGUUUGUUACUGUCCUUUUCUUCGUCGUAUUCCGCUUAUUCAUAUAUAAUCUUGAAUUUGGGAUUGUAAUUCACUUACAGUUAUUUUUAUGAUGUGUGUUAAUUUUUUUGUGCAGGCAUUUGAUGCUCUGCUGACAUCGUUGGACACUCGUGGAACUAGAGAAUCUCAUCUGCAUAUAAUGUUGAAGAAGAUUGAGGCAUGCUUCAAAAACUGUGUGCAAAAGAAUCGGUUACUCCAUAGUAUCUCGUAUCAAAAUAGAGACGGGGGCAGAAUAGGAGCUUUGGAAGUAAAUUCGAGCCAUGUUUGUUCAAGUGCCGAGAGUCCUAGGAGUGCAGUCUGCAGUUCAAGUUCCGACGCAUGCGAACCAUCAUUUUCCUUCAGAGUUCAAAUUGGACGAAACGAAACAGAGAAAAAAAACUUCUUGAAGAGGUACGAAGAUCUACAGAUUUGGAUGUGGAAAGAAUGCUUCAGCUCCUCGUUUUUAUGCGGCAUGGCGCAUGAAAAGAAAAGAUGUCCGCCUCUAUUGGGAACUUGUGAUGUCUGCUUUGGUACUUAUGAUGCUAAAAAGGAUCAUUGCCCUUCUUGCCAUGGUAACAAAAGAAGUACUUUAAUAGACGAGAGUUCUACAAUCACUUCAAACUUAUCUCCAGUGAGAAUCGGAUUGAUCAAGGCCCUGCUCACUUUACUCGAGGUACGGUAAUUGUGUGCCUGCACAAUUGCUACUUAACAUUCAAUCUUGACAUGUCUAAUAUGUUGUACAACUAAUACUUGCCGAUAUAUCUUCUUACAGGUAACUGUUCCCUCUGAGGCUCUUCGUUCUUGUUGGACAGAAGAUCUUAGGAAUACAUGGGGAUCAAAAUUGCAGCGUUCUUCAUCCAGCGAGGAUCUUCUACAGGUUUCCACUCCAUUAAUCAACACUUCAUUUCUCGUUUCGCCUUUUUAUUUCCUUUUUCCUUCCUGCUAUUUGUUAAGUGGAGACACUGAGACAUAACCCUUUUCUUUUUUUUUUUCUUUUUUCCUUUUAAAAAAUUGGUGCAGAUCCUGACUGAGUUUGAGGGUGCUAUAAAUCGCGAGUACAUUACAGUAGGUUUUGAGACAACAGAAGAACUGCUCUCUUCGUGCGUCUCGUCAAAAGGUGCUGCUUUUGAAUUUAUCGACCUGGGAUCUGUUACUCAGCUUCCUUGGAUACCAAAAACUACUGCUGCUGUGGCUUUGAGGCUUUUGGAGCUCGAUUCAUCAAUCUCGUACACUCCUAAUCAAAUUGCUGACUCUCAAGUGGAACCUCCUCCAGUUGAGUUCUCUCUCUCUCCCCCUCAUACACACACGCACACACACAACACAGUAAUUGGACUAGAAACGAUAUACUCUACAACACAAGAAAAAAACAAGUCGAAAGCUGAAACUUGUGUAGUAUGUAUAAGUGCAUCCCAAGUGCUCAAUAACUAAACUAGCAAUAGUUUCUGGUUUAAUGACUCCAUUACUUCAAUCUCUCUUUGACAUAAUUUCUUAAACGUACUUUUGUUGUCUGCAGAAGUUCACUUUAAAGUACGCUUACACAAAGGACAUCCACAAAGCUGAAACUAUUGAAUUCAGCAGAAGUGGAUUCGUAAAAGAAGAAAACCGAGAUCAUUUCACUCCUCGCAUCUCUGGUAAUAACAGGCAAGUAGUUCGUAAGAAAGGAAGUGGCCGACCAAGCAAGUCGAAGAAAAAAUCCGUGGGUUCAUUAUCAAAAUCUGGCAAAAAACAGAGUAUUGCAGAAGGCGAGUCAUUGGCUCAAACUCUCACACACGGACAAAAGCAUGGAAGGGGUAGAAGAACUGUUAGGAGGAGAAGAACAGAGCAGAAGAAUGUUACGGAAACACUAAACGAAUACUUUGAAGACCAGCCAAUAAAUUCUGGCAAAAAUGAUGGCUCGAUAAAUAAUAUUGUAGUUGAAAAUUACGAGAGUAGUCAUCACAGCAUAGAAGAAUCUGAUGAUAAUGCCAAUGAGAACGUUUACGAGUUUCGAAAAUUGGGUGCUACUAUUCCAAUGGAUGUGAGUGAAGAAGAAGAAGAAGAUGCUGAUCAAAUUGAUGAUGAAAAUGGUUAUAACGAGGAGGAAAUUAAUGAUGAAGGGAACCACCUUAUAGAUGAAGGCUCGGAAUCUGAUGCGUCUGGAGAUUACAGUGACUAAAGUUGCACGAUUUUGAAUUAAUCCGAUAAUCAGAGGUUCGAUUGUUUGACCAAAUAUAUACGAGUAGUGUAGUGAUCUUGCAUUCCUUUUUGUGUUGUAUGAUUCGGCAAUUGACUCGUCUGAGUACCGUGUAACAUUAUAUAGGGGAAGCUUAAAAGGGAAAAAACAAAAAAACAAAAACAAAAACAAAAACAAAUCAAGAGCAGGAAUAAUUUUUAAAUAUUGGCACAGUGUCAAUAUAGAUAUUAACAGGUACAUAUAAUGUAAUUGGGAGAGCAGGAAUAAUUUUUAUUUUAUAUUAACAAACGUUUUGAAGAAAAUAAAUCAAUAUAGUGAUCUUGCAUUCUUGUGUGUUGCCCGAAUUUGAGCGUGCAAUUUGAAGUUUUGGGCCAAUUUGAAGUACAUAAUGUAAUUUGGAGGGUAGGAAUAUAUAUAUAUUAUUAAUUAAAAAACGUUUUGAGGAAAAUAAAUAAAUAAAUAUUAUCGAAAGCGUGUUUAUUUAACUUUAAUACUAAUUGAGAUUAAUUUGUAAAGAAAAAAACGUUAAUUUUAUUUCUUCAAAUUUACCAAAACAAGUAAACAACUGUGUGCGUGAGAGAUCAAAACGAUCCUCAUCUCGCUGGGUUAACUCAGUUGCCAUGGCGAAAUCUUUGAUACUGCUUCACGCUAUAUUCCUCUCUGUUUUUGUCUUUCUCGCCGAAUCGAACGCCCUAUCUUCUCCGAUCGGUGGCGAAACGACGUCGUCUUGUUCCGAACAAGGGAAGGGAAAGUCUUUGGCAUGUCAGGUGGAAGAGGCCAAGCUCGAAAUCAGUCGAUUAGGUAUUUAUUCUAUGGUAUUUUCCCCUAAUGUGUUUCGUUGUAUUAAUUUCUGAGCUGAGACAGUUCGCCAUCGCAGAAUCGAUCCUCGAGGAAAGGAUUGGAGAUAUGAACGCGAAAACUCGGCACUUCGAAGACUGCGAGAAGAAAAUUGAGGAUUUGGCUACGGUGAUUGAUCUUCUGGUAACCGAUUUUUCGAGAUUUGAGAAUGAUUCCUCGCGUGCGAGUGAAAAAUUAACUGACCUUGAAGAUGAGGUAUUGUUUAAUUUAGUGAUGAUGGUUUACUUCUGCUUAUUCGUAUUGGAUUAUUGGUUCGAAUUUGGGGGUUUGGAAAUUAGAAUUAAUAAAUGGAUUUGCUGUGAUCGUGUAGGUUCGGCUUCUAUGGGCAGCCUCUCGGAAGAAUAACUUCGAAAUCUACGAGAUGGAACUCAAAGCAUUAGGUGCCGAAAGAAGAUUGAGAGAAGUUACUUCACAAGUUGGAGAGGUUAUUUCAUUUUAUUGUUUGAGGAGAAUGUUCCCCAUUUAUAGUUUUGUUAAUAUGGACUGUUUGAUCGAAUUUUUUCCCCUAACCCUUAGUUGCGAAUUGCGAUGCAUUAGAAAUUUUCGGAUAAUUAGUUUUUCGAUCCUAAUUGCUUUAAGGUGGAAGAGAGCAUUUCAUUCAGUAAUGAUCUGAUUUGUUUUACACAAGGUUUUGUGUAUCGUAAAUUCGUAAUACAUACUAACUGCCAAGAAAAAGAAACGAUACCUGGAAACAAAUUAGCGCCGGUUAAUAGCUCCCCUAAUUUCAUGUCUUCUGCGUGCAGAUGUCUGAAAUUGUAUCAGAGCAGUGGAUCCAAAUUCAGCAACUUGAGCAGGCUGUUCACAUGGCAGAGGUACUUGUACAUUUCUUUGUUCUUCUUGCAAGGUUUAUGUACAAAUCCAUAAUUAAAUAUGUGUUACAGAUUCGAGCGUCGAAGGUUAGAAAGAAACUCUGGAAACGAUGCCCGUUUGUAAAGGUAUAAAUAGCGCAACACUUUGCUCCACAUUGGGGAUCUACUUUUUACCAUUUUUUGACAUAUUUUAGCACAAUCUGAAUCUUUUCUAUUUCCCGGUUUCAUUUUUCACAUGAAGUUACGAAUGCUGACAAUUAUGCUAUUUUGCUCUGUAGUCCAUUAUUGCUUAUUUAAGUGAUUGCCUCAAAACAUUAAAGCGGAUUCUCGAUCCUUACGUUUCAAGAUAUGCGUCUUUGUUGGUUUCCUGCAAUUCUCAAGCUUUGCAGAUGUUUGCAUCUGCAAAGGGUUAUCAUCAUCAGGUACUGAUUUUAUCAUUCCUGCUCUUCCAAACAGGUUUCUAUUAAAUCUAAAUUAUUUUGUCAAUCUUUUAACUUUCAAGUUAGACGAUAAUUUUUGUUAAUUUCGAUAAUCAAUAAUGCAAAAGUCUUCAGUGCAAAUAAUUAAUUAUGAGAUUUGCCCUUCUUUUCUUAUGUGUACAUGUGAGUUUCCUCAAGGGUUGGUUAGCUAGUUAGCUAAAUAAAUUGAACUGAGCUAAUACUGUAAACAAUGUAGCUUGCAGCUGCCAGCUAGGCUCCUCUGCUCCUGAAUAGACGUAACAUUCGAAGGACCAUAAAUUUUAGAACGAAGCAGAAAACAUCAUUCUUUUGUUUUCAAAACCUACUGGUCCCACAUGCUUCCUUCUAGGUCCACAAGUUUGGGACAUUAUCGAUCUGUGUGUUUUCCGUUAAAAUUGUUAAGACGUUCACCGUGGCUUCAUUCAUGCAACUACCUACCGAAGGUCCCAAACUACCAAAUUCUGAAUGCUAUGAUGCCCUUUCUAGCUAUUUUACUUUACUCGACUGAUAAUUUUUUUUUACAAUGAGCUGAAUUUUGAUGCAGUCGAUUUUUGUGUAUAAAGUUUGCCUUAAUUUUCCGAUUAGGGAAGCUUGAAAUCAAUGCAAUAAUUGGUAAUUGAGCAUUACUGUAUAGUGAAGGUUUAUAUUGUUCGGUAUAUUUGCUGUUAUAUAUACUGACAAGUGUUUCCAAUGUAUAGCUGCAAGAUUUGAUAAGAUAUGCAAUGCAAAACAAUGAACUCACUGCAGUACUUGCACACGAGGAGGUGGUCUUUUUCGUGGUACGUCUUUUUUUCUUCUUCUGCUGCUAAAGAACUUCACCUAUUCGACCCGAAUUUUAAUCCAACUUACGAAUUCAGGCAUCGGCACUGGUUGCGUUUCCACUAAUGACUGCCUGCAUGUUGCUCCUAUCGCAAUUCAGCUAGCUGGAAAUAAUUAUUGCCUUGUGACCAAGGCACCAUACCACUACCCCUAAUGCAUCAAAAAAUUUUAUCCAAAGGAAUUUAUGAUGCCGUUGUGGCGGUUAACUGUCAGGAAAGUUGAUAACGACCUAAGAAAUUAUCGAGGCAUCUUUGAUGGUCGCCUAUCAGGACUACGACGAGGACAUUUCUAAUCGCAAAUUCUGCCACUAGCUUCUCUGCACUGGAAUUCUCGAUCUUGCACCGUCGUUACGUACAUUUAACAAGGUAAGAUUGCAAUUAGAUUUUGCUGCUAACCUUUGUCUUACCCGCAUAGGAGCAUAGAUUAGAACAACUUUAGACAUUUACUAUUUCGAUUAUUUAUUUAUAAUAUAAUCUAGAAUUGUGAAUCUGGUAUGGAUGUUCAUAUAUAGGUAGGGGACACUGUUCAUGUGAUUUUGUUGAGAACAAAGGAGCCAUGUGCACAUGGCUUUAAAUGUUCGGCAAAUAUCGAACGAUGGUGACUGGACUCGAUCAAUUAAUUCUUAGCUGAAUUAGUUUCAGACACAAUUGAAUUAUUCUUUCUAUGUAAAAAUUCACAAAUAUAUUGUUUCUUUCUAAAAAAAAAAAAAAAGAAAAACAUUAAAUAUGAGACAAAAAUAUUUAGUUGUAUAUCUACUUCUCAGUUAAGAUGUCUAUUUAUUUUCCCCCCAAAAAGGCAACCUCUACAUAAUGAGAAGUCUUUUCUUUAAUUUUCGAAAAAGCUGAAAAUAUUGAAUUCAUGGCCGUCAAGCAUUUAAUUAUCCCAGAAAAUAUAACUACACAUACUAAAACAUUUAUUUUUUGGGUAAAUAGCACUUUAACCCCCGUGGUUUGAAGUUUGUGCAUAUAACUCCUACUUUCAAUAAAAGUACAAGGGAUUCAUAUGCAAAAUGUUCAAACUACAGAGGGGUUAAUUGCUAUUUACAUUUACUUUGUUUUAUUUAACAAAGUUCAACCUUGGAAACGUUGACCAAUGGAUUCAAACUCGAGCAUUUGACUUCUCGCUUCACCAACGAAGCCAUUUUUACGGGCAUUAGAGAAACACUUCAGAGAAAUGGGAAAAGACGUAUUUGUCCUUUCAACUAAAUUAAUACUUCAGAGAAAUGGGAAAAGACAUAUUUGUCCUUUCAACUAAAUUAACCGAUUCAUGAAAAACAUUGUGGCUUAAUUAUGAAAUUUCAUAAAUGGAAAUUUAUAGUAUGGCAUGCAUUUUAUGAAUGAAUAUGACAACAUUUGAAGAUGGGCACAUGCCUUGUGUUCUCCCAUGUUAUACAUAAACAUAAUUAAUCACAUUGCUUUAUUUAUGUCUAUUUUUUUCUUCUAUCAGAAAUUUUUGACCUGUAAUUUUCCUAACUCAAAAGGAAAUCUGUCAAUGCACAUUUAUUACAUACAACCAUAAUACCUACUUAACCAUGCAACUUUCAAAUUUAGGUUCCCAUCAAUUUUUUCAAUAAAAUUCAUUUAUAAUAUUGAUUAAAUUACAGCCACCCCAUGUAGUAAUGUCAAAUUACGAAAAAGUCCUUCAUAUUUGGAUAAUUACAACCACUAUUCAACUAUGAAUCAUAAUGCAUGCUCACCCUUAUGGUGUCAAAUUCAACAUAAUCUUCUACAUUCAGUUUGUACCCGUCUUGUGCAAAAAUGCAGUUUCUGAUGAACCAUGAUGUUUACAAGUCAAGAGACACAUCUUAUGAUCAUCUUAUUUCAAAAUGGUGAGCUCGAAUGAGGUAAAACGGGUACAAACUGGAGAAUAUUCCACGUAAUCUAGAAUAUUCCACUAAAUAUGACACUGAAAGGGUGGACGCAUAAGAUGAUUCAUAGUUAAGAGGAUAGUUUAAUAACCCAACAUGAGGGGUAUUUUCGUAAUUUGACUUUACCUCAGGGAAGUCGACGUAAUUUAAAGUGACCGAUAAUAAGAAAAAAAAUAUUUAAGAAAAAAAAGACUAAAAUGAAGAAAUUAUAUAUAUUAUAGGUGACCACUGCCACGUGUACAACACAAUACACACUCUAAGAGAGAAAACCCUCUAUAAAAGAAGCCAUAUACACUACCACAAAGUAGCAUAUCAUCUGUUUCUCUCUCUAGCUAUCCUUCUUCAAUGGCGUCCUCUGCAAAACCUUUCUCUCUCUUCCUUCUCAUCAUCACCCUCUUAACCACACUACUCUACACUACUCAUGCAAGAGAGAACCAAUUCUUCAACAAAGCCUCCACCACUAACACCAACAACGACAACCUCGUACCAGAUGACGUCGAAAAAGAACCUCUGAACAACCAGCCCGAUUUCCUGCCGGAAAACGAAAACGGCUACGGCCUCUCCGGCCACAACUCCGUCCAACUCCCUCCUUCCGCCGCCACCACCGAAUCCAAGCGGCCUCUCCCAAAGUACCUCCCAAGAAACUACAACCCAGUUGCGUACGUCACCGAACCAGAAGCCACCAACACAUUUGCAGAAGAAAAAAGUUAUUACAACAAUGGCGGCGGCGGCGGUGAACGAAACUACUACUACAGUAACAACAACAACAACCAGCAACAAGAAGAAGAAGAAGAGGAAGAAGAGCCGCCGUACCGGAGAAGCUACCCCAACACCAGAAGCAACUACUACAACGGCGGCGAAUUCCGGCGGCCGCAAGGAAUGAGUGAUACGAGGUCGCUGGAAAAUGGAAAGUAUUAUUAUGAUUUAAAUACAGAGAAA